rnacentral:lncRNA from 1 species
UAGCAUAAUUCCCUUCUACAAUGUUUUGAUUUUUUUCCAGCAUCUGUCUGCUUUUUGACACUGUCUACUGCCUUCAGGAAGUUUUGUCUUUCUUCAAAGAUAAAAUAUAACUGUCAUCUGCAUGAAGGUUAGUCUAAGGGUUGAUCUGAGUUAUUUAGUCAUACAGAAGCCUUGAUAUUCAUUUUAAAACUUAUUGGUGACUUUAUUUACUUGCUUCAAUACGUCAAAUUCCAAUAGAACAAUGUGGUUUUUUUUGCCUUACAUCAUCACCUCUAUCACUCAUUUUAUUUCAUAAUAACUCUCUUAGUACCUAAUGCAGUCUCUCUUGCUAUCAGAUAUUUUUAGGAAAAUAUUUUUAUUGAAAUUUAAAAUAUAUUAUUAAAAAUGCACAGAUAACAAGUGUACCACUUGAUGAAUUUUUCUCAAGAUAAACAGACCAUAGUAGCCAGCAACCAGAUCAGGAAAUAGAAUAUUAUCAGUGCCACCGACAAUCACCUUAUGCCAUCUCCCAGUCACCAUAAACCCUCUUCCCUAACAGACAGAGCAGCAUGUGGAGGCUCGCAUCAUGAAUUUUUGCUCCACAACAACUGAAGGAAUAAAUCAGGAAACCUGAGAGGAUCCACAGACCCCCUGAAGGAAGCGGAUUGCUCCUGCAGGACCCGGCAGACACCCCAAAUACUGUGAUGCCCAAACUGUGGAAGUGGGAAAGGGAGAUGGUCCAGGAAGCUGAAGGCCUACAUUACAAGGGAAGAUUUUGACCUUACCUGGAGCUGAGUCAAUUUAGAGAGCCCAGCAUAAUACAGGGGUAGAGGUGGCAGCAGGAAACCCCUGGAAGCUCACUGGGUCCCCUACCAAGCCGUUUUUGCCUGAUCUCAGAGAAGACCUUCAGGAGGGAGGCCAGAGGCACUGGGAAAAGGCCACAGGGAGAAGGAAAUCUCCAGCUGAAUUUUGUAACAAUUUGAACUGAUCGAGAAGCCUCCUGGCCAGAACUCGGCAGAGGGCAUGAAUCCGAUAUUGCAGAUUCCAUGGGCAGGGGAAGAAUCAAAUCCCUUUUCUUUCACAGCUGAGGUGGGUAUCCUGGGGCAAGUUCUCAAACCCUGCUCACACACGGCCCAGAAACACACAGUGCUGUUAGAGGGGGCACGCUGCAGGUCAGACCAGCCUUUCUGAUUGUUUAGGAGACAGGUGAGGCCUGUAACUGCCAGCUUUCCCCCCACUUCCCUGACAACCUGCAUGACUCAGCAGAGGCAGCCAUAAUCCUCCUAGGUACACAAUUCCAUUGACCCGGGAACCUCACCCCCAUCCUCCACAGCAGCCCCAGCUAGACCAUCCAAGUAGAGUCUAAGUUUAAACAUGCCUAGCCCUGCCCCCACCUGAUGCGCCUUCCCUACCCACCCUGGUAGCUGAAGACAA